UUCACCAGAAUACGCAACGACGAGGUGAAGUGCACGAUUUGCUUCAAAACUCUUAAAUCAUCAGGAAACACCUCAAACAUGCAUAAGCAUAUAAAGAGCCACCCCGAAGUGAGUGCAAAAGAAACUGAAAAAAAAAAUCAACUUUUACAAGAGAUCUUGAUCUAAUAAGUUCAAGUCAUAAAACUGAGCCGCAUAAGUAUAUGUAUUUUGAGACCACUAGAGAAUUUUACCGAUGGUGAAUACCCUGAAGAACCAGAUUAAUAAUGUGGAUGUAGAUGCGGACGACGGUGGUAUGGCAGUCAUACAUGCCGUAAGGAAGGAAAUAAUUAAACAAUUGGAACGCCGAUUCGGAUCCAUCGAAGAAAACCACCUAAUUGCGAUAGUUUAUUUACUGGAUCCAAGAUUCAAAAAUAGCCCUUUUAAAGCUUGUACGAAAGCAAUUAAUUUGCUAAGAAAAUUUAUAUUAUCCAGCCCUAAUUCUCUCUCCAGUGAGAAUGAGAGUGAUACUUCUAUAGACUCAGCAAACAAUCUUUGGAGUGAUUAUAAGAAGUGGACGCACGCAGGGAAGCAGACCAAAAAAACAAGAUCUACAAUGAACGAUGACGAAGUAGGUCGCUACCUAUCUACCCAUGUUUUACCACUUUCCAUCGACCCUUUAAAACAAUGGGGUGAAAGUAGUUUAUCCCAAACUAUACUACUUAGCUCAAAAGUAUUUGGGAAUUCCCGAGACGUCCGUGCCCUCUGAGCGCCUUUUCUCCAAAGCUGGAAGUACCAUAACCAAAACUCGCAGCCGACUGUCACCCAAAAGGCUUGACAAAAUUCUUUUUUUAGGCGAUUGUGCAGAGGAGGAAAGGAAUAUAUAACUUAACAUAAUUUCAUUGUACUAUGUAAUAAUUGAAAAUUUACUUGUAACUUUUACUUUUUAAUUAAAAAAACAUGAAAUAUA